rnacentral:sRNA from 1 species
UACUGCUAAGGAGACGCGGCGAGAAGC